rnacentral:misc_RNA from 1 species
GAUGAAGAACGUAGCGAAAUGCGAUAAGUAAUGUGAAUUGCAGAAUUCAGUGAAUCAUCGAAUCUUUGAACGCACAUUGCGCCCUUUGGUAUUCCGAAGGGCAUGCCUGUUCGAGCGUCAUUACAACCCUCAAGCUCUGCUUGGUAUUGGGCACCGUCCUUUGCGGGCGCGCCUCAAAGACCUCGGCGGUGGCGUCUUGCCUCAAGCGUAGUAGAACAUACAUCUCGCUUCGGAGCGCAGGGCGUCGCCCGCCGGACGAACCUUCUGAACUUUUCUCAAGGUUGACCUCGGAUCAGGUAGGGAUACCCGCUGAACUUAAGCAUAUCAAUAAGCGGAGGA